rnacentral:rRNA from 1 species
ACAUGCAAGUCGAACGAAGUAGCAAUACUUAGUGGCAGACGGGUGAGUAACAUGUAGGUAUCUGCCCUUUGGCCUGGAAUAACACGAGGAAACUUGUGCUAAUACCGGAUAAGUCUUUACGGAGAAAGCUUUAUGCACCAUUGGAUGAGCCUGCACUUGAUUAGUUUGUUGGUGGGGUAAUGGCCUACCAAGACUUUGAUCAAUAGCUGAUUUGAGAGGAUGAUCAGCCACAUUGGGACUGAGACACGGCCCAAACUCCUACGGGAGGCAGCAGUGGGGAAUCUUGCACAAUGGAGGAAACUCUGAUGCAGCGAUGCCGCGUGAGUGAAGAAGGCCUUUGGGUUGUAAAGCUCUUUCGUCGGGGAAGAAAAUGACUGUACCCGAAUAAGAAGGUCCGGCUAACUUCGUGCCAGCAGCCGCGGUAAUACGAAGGGACCUAGCGUAGUUCGGAAUUACUGGGCUUAAAGAGUUCGUAGGUGGUUGAAAAAGUUGGUGGUGAAAUCCCAGAGCUUAACUCUGGAACUGCCAUCAAAACUUUUCAGCUAGAGUUUGAUAGAGGAAAGCAGAAUUUCUAGUGUAGAGGUGAAAUUCGUAGAUAUUAGAAAGAAUACCAAUUGCGAAGGCAGCUUUCUGGAUCAUUACUGACACUGAGGAACGAAAGCAUGGGUAGCGAAGAGGAUUAGAUACCCUCGUAGUCCAUGCCGUAAACGAUGUGUGUUAGACGUUGGAAAUUUAUUUUCAGUGUCGCAGCGAAAGCGAUAAACACACCGCCUGGGGAGUAC